GAUGAACGCUGGCGGCGUGCCUAAUACAUGCAAGUCGAGCGAACGGACGAGAAGCUUGCGUCUCUGAUGUUAGCGGCGGACGGGUGAGUAACACGUGGAUAACCUACCUAUAAGACUGGGAAAACUUGGGGAAACCGGCGCUAAUACGGGAGAAUAUUUUGAACCGCAGGGGUCAAAAGUGAAAGACGGUGGUGCGGUCAGUUAUAGAUGGAUCCGCGCUGGAUUAGCUAGUUGGUAAGGUAACGGGUUACCAAGGCAACGAUGCAUGGCCGACCUCAGAGGCUGAUCGGCCACCCUGGAGCUUAGCCACCGUCCAUACUCCUGAGGGACGCAGCAGUCGGCUACCUUCCGCAAUGGGCGAAAGCCUUGCGGAGCAACGCCGCGUCAGUUAUGACGGUCUUCCGAUCGUAAUACUCUCUUACUAGUGAAGAACAUCUGUCUAAUUAACUGUGCCCAUCUUGACGGUACCUAAUCAGAAAGCCCCGGCUAACUACGUG
rnacentral:rRNA from 1 species